GCGAACGUAUCACUUAAAUUUGUUUGAGUGAAUAACGAUUGACGGAACGAAGUGACGUCAAUGCGUUAAUGAAAGUCGAGGCGAAAGCACGACAAAGCGAAUUUAAGGAUACGUUCGUUGGGUAGGGGAGCGUUCUGUAAGCCUGCGAAGGUGUACUGUGAGGUAUGCUGGAGGUAUCAGAAGUGCGAAUGCUGACAUAAGUAACGAUAAUGCGGGUGAAAAACCCGCACGCCGGAAGACCAAGGGUUCCUGUCCAACGUUAAUCGGGGCAGGGUGAGUCGACCCCUAAGGCGAGGCUGAAAAGCGUAGUCGAUGGGAAACGGGUUAAUAUUCCCGUACUGGUGGUAACUGCGAUGGGGGAACGGAGAAGGCUAGGUUGUCCGGGCGACGGUCGUCCCGGUUCAAGCAGGUAGGCAGAGUGAUUAGGCAAAUCCGGUCACUUAAUGCUGAGAUGUGAUGACGAACCACCAAGGUGGUGAAGCAAUUGAUGCCCCGCUUCCAGGAAAAGCCUCUAAGCUUCAGGUUACCAACAAUCGUACCCCAAACCGACACAGGUGGUCAGGUAGAGAAUACUCAGGCGCUUGAGAGAACUCGGGUGAAGGAACUAGGCAAAAUGGUGCCGUAACUUCGGGAGAAGGCACG
rnacentral:rRNA from 1 species